GCGAGUGUGGCGAAACUGGUAAACGCACAGGACUUAAAAUCCUGCGGUUUAAUAACCUUGUCGGUUCAAGUCCGACCACUCGCACCA
rnacentral:tRNA from 3 species